GACGAACGCUGGCGGCGUGCUUAACACAUGCAAGUCGAACGGAAAGGCCCCUUUGGGGGGACUCGAGUGGCGAACGAGUGAGUAACACGUGAGUAACCUGCCCUUGACUUCGGGAGAACUUAAGGAAACUGAGGCUGGUACCGGACAGGAAUCAUCGCUGCAUGGUGGGGGGUGGAAAGCUUCGGCGGUUUGGGAGGGACGCGCGGCUUUUCAGCUUGGUGGUGGGGUAGGGGCUUACCAAGGCUUUGAGGGGUAGCCGGCCUGAGAGGGCGACCGGCCACAUUGGGACUGAGAUACGGCCCAGACUCCUACGGGGGGCAGCAGUGGGGAAUAUUGCACAAUGGGCGGAAGCCUGAUGCAGCAACGCCGCGUGCGGGAUGACGGCCUUCGGGUUGGAAACCGCUUUCAGCAGGGGCGAAGCUUGUGGUGACGGUACCUGCAGAAGAAGCACCGGCUAACUACGUG
rnacentral:rRNA from 1 species